UGAUCAAUUUCCUUUUUCAGCAAAACCUUUCUUGGCUGCACAACGUAUUUUAAUCUGCGUGCAAUGUAUGAACUCGUGAUAUAUGCGGACGAAGUGGAGGUAGUUACUACAGUGUCAAGGAGUUUGCACUUCCAUGAAGGAUCGGUGGACGAUUUUAGCUCAACGGCUGUUUAUGCCUGCUGGCGAAGAAACGAUGGACUGUUGUCCCGCCAAGGUGCCGAUAAUGAAAGAAAACGUACCUUAUCAAGACAGUGUGACGUCCACAAGCAAGUGCCACAGAUUUUUUAUGCUCAUGACAUGGAUGCAGCUCUGUGAAAGAAGUGGCAAGAACAGUGCGGUCACCUAGGGAGCUCCACGGACAGAUCAUGACUGCAAAGCGGCGCCAGCAGUUGCUGCUGUCACGAGUAUGUGUAUUUAUUCUGCCAGAACAUUGAGCAAUUUUUCUAU